CCCUUAGAUGUUCUGGGCCGCACGCGCGCUACACUGACGACGUCAACAAGUUACACCUUGCUCGAUGGAGUACGGGUAAUCUUUUGAAACGUCGUCGUGCUGGGGAUUGGCCAUUGUAAUUGUUGGCCAUAAACGAGGAAUUCCUAGUAAGCGCAAGUCAUCAGCUUGCGUUGAUUACGUCCCUGCCCUUUGUACACACCGCCCGUCGCUCCUACCGAUUGGAUGAUCCGGUGAGACCUCCGGACUGUGAUCGAAAAGCGAGUUCGCUCGCGUUUCAGUCGCAGGAAGUUGCUCGAACCUUAUCAUCUAGAGGAAGGAGAAGUCGUANCA
rnacentral:rRNA from 1 species